rnacentral:lncRNA from 1 species
GUAGAUACGGCUCACCAUUUGCUGCUUUCCUUGCUGUUGUCCCUGUUGCUGAAUUUGUUGUUUAACCGCUUUGGAUGCUCCUUUCAAGGUUGGGCAAACGCAAAGGGGCUCUUCCUGGUGGAGCUCGUUACAGCACUGCUGGAGUAGAGGCGGUCUCUGCUGUGGACCCUGGGGGUUCUCCAUGUCGUCUUCAAAGUCAAACUCACCGUCGAGGGUCCAGCUAGGACCACUGCCAGACUGCAUUGCUUGCUUGUGGAGCCACUGCUGGCAAGCUUUUAGGUGUUGUGCUUGCUGAAACUCCUUCCUACAUUUUGGAAUCCUAAAUGGGCCGGCUGGGUUUGUUGCAUCAUCUUCGUCGAACUCGACCACCGUCCGGUAGAUGGAGGCAUUGGUGAGAAGGAAGAAGAAGGCGAGAGUUGCCGAGACGAGGAAGAGCUUGUUCGCCAUUAGUGUAUGUUUUUAAUCUUGUUUGUAUUGAUGAGUUUUGGUUUGAGUAAAGAGUUAAGCGGAUGAGUUAAUUUAUAGGUGAUAAAGGAGAUUUGCAUGGCGAUCACGUGUAAUAAUGCAUGCACGCAUGUGAUUGUAUGUGUGUGCUGUGAGAGAGAAGCUCUUAGGUGUUUGAAGGGAGUGACAAGUGACGAACAAAAACAAUCCUCCGCGUCUGCAUGCUUUGUGUAACGUGUAGCUAAUGUUCUGGCAUGGCAUCUUAUGAGCGAUUCUUUUUAAAAACAAGGUAAAAACUUAACUUCAUAAAUUAAAAAAAAAACGUUUAGUAAGUUGGUUUAAAAGGGGACGAGAGUCUAAAAAUUUUGGAGGUAGUGCCGUUGGGAAUAUAAAUUGGGAGAGCUUAAUCAGAAUUAUAGAAGUUAAAGUUGAUUUAGUCACGGUCAAUAUAAAUUGGGAAUUUGAGUCAAAAUCUUCCAAAUUCGGAAUCCGUCUUGUUACACCCGGUGGUAGGAGCCGAACGGUUUGAAAAUACUUGAAAUGUGGAUGUACAGGCUGGUUUAAUUUUAUGUUGAAUGGAUACAUGUCAAUCGAAUUAUAGGUACACAUUUUACUCUAAUACUAAAAUGUAACAUUUGUCUCAUCCUUACUCAAGAAUGGUAGCUCAUCCUUACUCGAGAACGGUAUGCCAGUCACUUUAACGUAUAUCUCAUGAAACUCAACUCUAACACUUAUUUCAUACCCAUAUCUAAAAUAAAGAAAACUGAAGAAAAACGGUCAAUAGCAUCAAUCCUUACAAAUAUAAUGCACUUGGAAACCUCACAUGAAAAUAACAAUAAAGAGGAGGUGAAUAAUAUAAGUAGUCCGAAAUGAAGUCUAUGGACUUAGAAAUAACAUUCCAAAUAUAUAUAAUUUAAUCAUAACAUGAAACAAACACAACACCUGAAAUGACAUAGAACAAAUUAGGGACCUAGUUAUAAGAUAAAGACUGGCACACCUCUUUUUUUUUUUGUUCAACUACUGGCACACCUCUAAUAGAAGCUUUCCCUAUGGAGGAUUCAUGUAUGUGACUAGAACCCACACACCGCCCGAAAACGCUUUCUUUAUUGACCUCAUUUACUACAGCUCAACCUGUCGACUUAGCGAAGAGGAAGAGCAAAGAUCAAGCUAACUAAAUUAGGGCUCUUGUUUGAUGAAACUGAAUGAAUGAAUCGAGAGAUGAAUGAGAUCUUCAUAAGCGAAUUAAGAAUCGACAAGGAAAGUUGCCCAAUAAAUAUUUGACAUUUCUUAAUUUUAAGGCCAAUUGGGCCAGUAACAUAUGGUAUUUUGACAGAUAUAUAGAUCCCAGAAUAAAUACUGAAUCAGCAAAAAUGAAAUCAGAGAGCUAAACGCUGAAGAAUCCACAUCUGCGUUCAAACAGUUCAUCCUUUACCUCAAAUAAACAAACUGCCAAAUCUUUUAAAUAUCUCAAACGUAAACAAAAUAUGAAAAAGAGUCUUUGGGACAAACAAAUCAAAAUGGUCUUGACAGCAUAUUGACCCUUGUAUGAUUGAAAGCCACUGAGACCCUCCUGCCAUUAACACAUCAAAUCUUAUAGACACACUUUGAGAAAAUAAAAAUCGUGAGGCCAUCUCAGUGUUAGUGACUCGCCAUGAAGUAAAGGCAUACCAGGAGAGUUUUGUCAAAAAGACAUAAGCUUAUUAGAUAAUUGGAGGGUUUAACUCUUAUAUAUCAUGUGCAGAAUUUAAUUGGUCAACAAAGCAAAUGGAACCAUCCGAUAGAUGUUUUAAAGAACAAGAGGUACAUUUGUAUAUAUGCAUUGGUUGAUACGUUUCUGCCAUCUGAAUUGCUUCUUCCUCAAAGAAGAAGCAAUCACCGAUGAAUGCUAAAGGAUUCAGGUCUAUAUUUGGCUUCUACUAGGCUUGUCUCUACAGUAGACUUUAUUCACAAAUGCAAACAACUUCAAGCAAGGCAAGUGACAGGACAGAUAAUGCUUAGAGAAAGAGAAACCGUUGAAAAGAAGCAGAAAGCACAACUCCCUUCGACUAAUUAAUCUAGGAUUUGCACUGACCAUAUUACUUCAAAGAUAGUUCCAUUUCAAGAAACAUAAACAGAACUUGAAUGAGAAAAAUCUAUGAUCAAAUUCAAAGGGAAAUUUGCAAGAGUACAAAGACAGAUUCAGCAGCACCUAGAAAACCCCAAUUGAUCUGCGUAAAAUCCCAAUUCUCUCUUCUGUUUACAAAAAAAAAUCACGAUCCACACUCUUUUUUGAUUUUCAAAUCAAAACAAAUAAUCAGCCCUGAAUUAUACAGUAAAAUCCCGAUCAAAACGGGUUAAUAAUUUUAUGAAAUAAUACAAAAAAAAAGAAACAGAUUGAGAUCGGCAAAACCUCGAUCAAUCAAUCAAUCAAUCAAACAACAUCGUCCUUCUUGGGUUUCCGAUAAUUCUCUUCGAUGUGCUCGAGGAUGACGCGAACAGUGUUCGUCAGCUUCUUUACAUCGGGAACGUUGUAAUUCUGUGCAACGUAUACACCAUAAGCCGUUCCCAUCGUGAACACCAAGCAGCUCUUCAUUAUCCCCAUCCCCCUCUCUACGCUCCGUACUAGUGUUCUAUUUGCACUUGUACUAUGAUACUUUAAUGGGCCUUCAAUAUUUAUUUCUAAGGCCCAUAGUGGGCCCAAAUCAAAUGAAACCGGCAUGCUCAUUUCCGUUGGUAGACAGAUUAAGAUUAAGGGCCAGAUUGGUUCAAAUGCAGCGGUUGCGGUUGCGGAAGUUUGUGGAUGCGGACGGUUGCAGUUUCUAGCGGUUUUAAGAGAUUUGUACGACUGGUAGUGCGGUUAAAUAUUGGUGCGUUUGCGGGUGACUUAUGACUGGUUAACUACCAAAUGCGGUAACAGUCAAAUAAUAAAUUAACAAUAUUUAUAUUUAAUAUAAUUAUAAAAAUAUCAAAAAGUCAUAAAAUUAUAAUAAAUAUAAAAUUUAUAUUUAGAAAGUUAUAAUUUUAAUUAUUAAAAAUUUAUUAAAAUUGUUUUUAUUAUAAAAUUUUAUAAUAUUAAUUAAAAUAUAAUAGAUAUAUUUUAAUAUUUUCAUAAUUUCAAUUUUAUAUUUAAAAUAAAUAACUAAAGUUUGCUAUCCGAAAAAACUAUCGUUUGCUUUAUUCAAUUGUUUAUUUAAUAUGCCAUUUAAUUUAAUAUUUAAGAUAAAAGAGACCAAAUUUAUCAGAAAUGGUAAGUAAACCGUCCUAUCUUUAAAUUGGGCAAAUUAAUUGCUAUUAAAAUCCAAAAACAAAAAUUAGUAAAAAACUCAGAUUUGAACCCACUACCUGAAGCACUAGAGAACGAGUACGCAAACCCUACAAUGAUCAAGUUGUAAAUAUUUGUCACCCCAAAAUUAUAUAUAAAUUCUGGUGCCUAAAGCGUUUGCUUUGCGGGCUUUAGCCCAUGGCCCGGCCUGUGUACGAGUUAAGAUGAUUGAUCAAGUAAAUUAAACAUUAAGAGCCUCUCUUUUAUUAUGGAGUAGUGCUAAUUUUACAUUAGCCUCAAACAUCCUAGAUAAAACCUUACAUAUUAUUAUGAAACACGCGAUGAGGUGUGGUGUUGACAUAUAUCGACAACCACAUUCAUACACUCGAGGGUUUCGUUUGGAAUCUAGUAGGAGGGCCCAGGCAUGGUCUUCUGGAAGGGACAUACGCUAACUUGCGGGAUUUUGCAAACUUUAGGUAAGUGAGUAGCUGUCUGGUAGAUACGGCUCACCAUUUGCUGCUUUCCUUGCUGUUGUCCCUGUUGUUGAAUUUGUUGUUUAACCGCUUUGGAUGCUCCUUUCAAGGUUGGGCAAACGCAAAGGGGCUCUUCCUGGUGGAGCUCGUUACAGCACUGCUGGAGUAGAGGCGGUCUCUGCUGUGGACCCUGGGGGUUCUCCAUGUCGUCUUCAAAGUCAAACUCACCGUCGAGGGUCCAGCUAGGACCACUGCCAGACUGCAUUGCUUGCUUGUGGAGCCACUGCUGGCAAGCUUUUAGGUGUUGUGCUUGCUGAAACUCCUUCCUACAUUUUGGAAUCCUAAAUGGGCCGGCUGGGUUUGUUGCAUCAUCUUCGUCGAACUCGACCACCGUCCGGUAGAUGGAGGCAUUGGUGAGAAGGAAGAAGAAGGCGAGAGUUGCCGAGACGAGGAAGAGCUUGUUCGCCAUUAGUGUAUGUUUUUAAUCUUGUUUGUAUUGAUGAGUUUUGGUUUGAGUAAAGAGUUAAGCGGAUGAGUUAAUUUAUAGGUGAUAAAGGAGAUUUGCAUGGCGAUCACGUGUAAUAAUGCAUGCACGCAUGUGAUUGUAUGUGUGUGCUGUGAGAGAGAAGCUCUUAGGUGUUUGAAGGGAGUGACAAGUGACGAACAAAAACAAUCCUCCGCGUCUGCAUGCUUUGUGUAACGUGUAGCUAAUGUUCUGGCAUGGCAUCUUAUGAGCGAUUCUUUUUAAAAACAAGGUAAAAACUUAACUUCAUAAAUUAAAAAAAAAACGUUUAGUAAGUUGGUUUAAAAGGGGACGAGAGUCUAAAAAUUUUGGAGGUAGUGCCGUUGGGAAUAUAAAUUGGGAGAGCUUAAUCAGAAUUAUAGAAGUUAAAGUUGAUUUAGUCACGGUCAAUAUAAAUUGGGAAUUUGAGUCAAAAUCUUCCAAAUUCGGAAUCCGUCUUGUUACACCCGGUGGUAGGAGCCGAACGGUUUGAAAAUACUUGAAAUGUGGAUGUACAGGCUGGUUUAAUUUUAUGUUGAAUGGAUACAUGUCAAUCGAAUUAUAGGUACACAUUUUACUCUAAUACUAAAAUGUAACAUUUGUCUCAUCCUUACUCAAGAAUGGUAGCUCAUCCUUACUCGAGAACGGUAUGCCAGUCACUUUAACGUAUAUCUCAUGAAACUCAACUCUAACACUUAUUUCAUACCCAUAUCUAAAAUAAAGAAAACUGAAGAAAAACGGUCAAUAGCAUCAAUCCUUACAAAUAUAAUGCACUUGGAAACCUCACAUGAAAAUAACAAUAAAGAGGAGGUGAAUAAUAUAAGUAGUCCGAAAUGAAGUCUAUGGACUUAGAAAUAACAUUCCAAAUAUAUAUAAUUUAAUCAUAACAUGAAACAAACACAACACCUGAAAUGACAUAGAACAAAUUAGGGACCUAGUUAUAAGAUAAAGACUGGCACACCUCUUUUUUUUUUUGUUCAACUACUGGCACACCUCUAAUAGAAGCUUUCCCUAUGGAGGAUUCAUGUAUGUGACUAGAACCCACACACCGCCCGAAAACGCUUUCUUUAUUGACCUCAUUUACUACAGCUCAACCUGUCGACUUAGCGAAGAGGAAGAGCAAAGAUCAAGCUAACUAAAUUAGGGCUCUUGUUUGAUGAAACUGAAUGAAUGAAUCGAGAGAUGAAUGAGAUCUUCAUAAGCGAAUUAAGAAUCGACAAGGAAAGUUGCCCAAUAAAUAUUUGACAUUUCUUAAUUUUAAGGCCAAUUGGGCCAGUAACAUAUGGUAUUUUGACAGAUAUAUAGAUCCCAGAAUAAAUACUGAAUCAGCAAAAAUGAAAUCAGAGAGCUAAACGCUGAAGAAUCCACAUCUGCGUUCAAACAGUUCAUCCUUUACCUCAAAUAAACAAACUGCCAAAUCUUUUAAAUAUCUCAAACGUAAACAAAAUAUGAAAAAGAGUCUUUGGGACAAACAAAUCAAAAUGGUCUUGACAGCAUAUUGACCCUUGUAUGAUUGAAAGCCACUGAGACCCUCCUGCCAUUAACACAUCAAAUCUUAUAGACACACUUUGAGAAAAUAAAAAUCGUGAGGCCAUCUCAGUGUUAGUGACUCGCCAUGAAGUAAAGGCAUACCAGGAGAGUUUUGUCAAAAAGACAUAAGCUUAUUAGAUAAUUGGAGGGUUUAACUCUUAUAUAUCAUGUGCAGAAUUUAAUUGGUCAACAAAGCAAAUGGAACCAUCCGAUAGAUGUUUUAAAGAACAAGAGGUACAUUUGUAUAUAUGCAUUGGUUGAUACGUUUCUGCCAUCUGAAUUGCUUCUUCCUCAAAGAAGAAGCAAUCACCGAUGAAUGCUAAAGGAUUCAGGUCUAUAUUUGGCUUCUACUAGGCUUGUCUCUACAGUAGACUUUAUUCACAAAUGCAAACAACUUCAAGCAAGGCAAGUGACAGGACAGAUAAUGCUUAGAGAAAGAGAAACCGUUGAAAAGAAGCAGAAAGCACAACUCCCUUCGACUAAUUAAUCUAGGAUUUGCACUGACCAUAUUACUUCAAAGAUAGUUCCAUUUCAAGAAACAUAAACAGAACUUGAAUGAGAAAAAUCUAUGAUCAAAUUCAAAGGGAAAUUUGCAAGAGUACAAAGACAGAUUCAGCAGCACCUAGAAAACCCCAAUUGAUCUGCGUAAAAUCCCAAUUCUCUCUUCUGUUUACAAAAAAAAAUCACGAUCCACACUCUUUUUUGAUUUUCAAAUCAAAACAAAUAAUCAGCCCUGAAUUAUACAGUAAAAUCCCGAUCAAAACGGGUUAAUAAUUUUAUGAAAUAAUACAAAAAAAAAGAAACAGAUUGAGAUCGGCAAAACCUCGAUCAAUCAAUCAAUCAAUCAAACAACAUCGUCCUUCUUGGGUUUCCGAUAAUUCUCUUCGAUGUGCUCGAGGAUGACGCGAACAGUGUUCGUCAGCUUCUUUACAUCGGGAACGUUGUAAUUCUGUGCAACGUAUACACCAUAAGCCGUUCCCAUCGUGAACACCAAGCAGCUCUUCAUUAUCCCCAUCCCCCUCUCUACGCUCCGUACUAGUGUUCUAUUUGCACUUGUACUAUGAUACUUUAAUGGGCCUUCAAUAUUUAUUUCUAAGGCCCAUAGUGGGCCCAAAUCAAAUGAAACCGGCAUGCUCAUUUCCGUUGGUAGACAGAUUAAGAUUAAGGGCCAGAUUGGUUCAAAUGCAGCGGUUGCGGUUGCGGAAGUUUGUGGAUGCGGACGGUUGCAGUUUCUAGCGGUUUUAAGAGAUUUGUACGACUGGUAGUGCGGUUAAAUAUUGGUGCGUUUGCGGGUGACUUAUGACUGGUUAACUACCAAAUGCGGUAACAGUCAAAUAAUAAAUUAACAAUAUUUAUAUUUAAUAUAAUUAUAAAAAUAUCAAAAAGUCAUAAAAUUAUAAUAAAUAUAAAAUUUAUAUUUAGAAAGUUAUAAUUUUAAUUAUUAAAAAUUUAUUAAAAUUGUUUUUAUUAUAAAAUUUUAUAAUAUUAAUUAAAAUAUAAUAGAUAUAUUUUAAUAUUUUCAUAAUUUCAAUUUUAAUUUUUUUAUUAAAUAUUUUUACUUUUGUAUAUAUAUUGUUUAAAAAAAAAGAGAAAAAAUUAUCCUCCCGCAACCGCAAACGCUAGCUGGAGCCAACUUUUGAAUUUAUGAGAUUCAGAGCGGUUUGAAGUGGUUUAGAGCGAUUUGAGUGAUUGUUGCAAACCGCCGACAACCGCUACCAACCGCAAAAGCUGCGUUUGCGGGUGGUAGCGGGAAAACCAGUCACCCCAUCUUCUCGGUUCCUGAAAUCUUGUCUCUUUACUUGGGAUUUAAGACAUGAUCGACUGAUAGACAGAUUAAAUCUUCUCGGUUUGAUGCGUAUGUGAGACAUCUGUUUUUGAUGGUUGUCUGGUUGGGGUUGUUAUUGUACAUGUAGGCUUAUAAGGAAUGGCAAAGAGCACAUUCAAGGAAGAGCAUGACCUAGGUUUGGAUCCUACCUUUUUGUUCUCUUAGUUUUGUGUUUGAUUCUCAAGUAAACUUAUAACUUUUGGAUCUAAUGAUGAUUCUAUUUUCUGCCUUCAGAGAAAAGAAGUGUAGAGGCUGCUCGGAUUAGAGAGAAAUAUCCAGAUAGGAUUCCGGCGAGUGCUCAGUGUUUUACAUUACCUAAACACAUAUGUGAUUAGCAUAUUGUCUUCCUUUUCCAUGUUUGGACGAUCCCUUUGUGUUGCACUCAGCUUAAGCUCUUGUUAUGUUUCAUGGCCCAACAUCUAUAUCCUUUUUUUCUGUCUUGGGUGAUUAUGAACUUAUCAUAUCUUUGGCUAUAGUUUUGUAGAUAACAAUCUGGAUUUAUAUGUACUCCCAUUUAACAGUUGGUUAUUAACCUCUGAUUAGCCUCAUGCUUGUGAUAUUUUUAUAUUUGGGCACUGUAUCAACUCAACUACUGAACUUGUUUGAAUUCUAGUGUCAUAUUGGGAAGUGAUUAAUGAUUUUACAUGGUUACUUAAAAAGUAGUGACACUUGAGUGAUGAUCUUCACCCUUUUUUGUAUUUGUGUGGGAUCCGGGUGAUUGUUGAGAAGGGUGAGAAGAGUGAUAUACCAACCAUCGACAAGAAAAAUUAAGCAUAUUGAUUACUGUAAUCAAUAUACAUCUCCCUCGGACCUGACUUGUGAUUGACACAACUAAGCUUUUUAUCCUGGAUGCAGAUACCUAGUCCCAGCUGAUCUGACAGUGGGGCAGUUCGUGUAUGUCAUUCGCAAAAUAAUCAAACUGAGUGCAGAAAAGGCUAUCUUUAUCUUUGUCGACAAUGUUCUUCCUCCAACAGGUAGCACUGAUAAGCUCUUACUUACUGUGUAUUCAUGACUUCUUUAAUAUCAUCCUAAGACAUCUACUUUGAUAACUCUGGCAGGUGCGUUAAUGUCUGCUGUGUAUGAAGAGAAAAAGGAUGAUGAUGGUUUCCUCUAUGUCACUUACAGUGGAGAGAACACAUGUGGAUCUCCAUAGAGAUCUCUUGCUGGAUACUUCGUUUCUAUUUUACCUAUUUCGCCUGAGUAUUUCAUUUCUUAUUAUUAGUUAUCUAAGCAAAGCAGCCUAUGUACUACUUCUCUAAGAACUUUAAGAUGGCCGUUCAUGUGUACAGAGAACAUAAAAAUAAUGUAUAUAUAAUCUCAAAACCUACUUGAUUAUGUUUUCGAUUGACUUUCACUCAGUAAGCCGACAUAACAUGUUGCCGUGAGUGCCACUGUAGUUACAGAGGCAAAAAAGUCUUUAACUAAAUAGAACAGCAGUGGC